GAUGAACGCUAGCUACAGGCUUAACACAUGCAAGUCGAGGGGCAUCAGGAAGAAAGCUUGCUUUCUUUGCUGGCGACCGGCGCACGGGUGAGUAACACGUAUCCAACCUGCCCUUACUCGGGGAUAGCCUUUCGAAAGAAAGAUUAAUACCCGAUAGCAUAAUGAUUCCGCAUGGUUUCAUUAUUAAAGGAUUCCGGUAAAGGAUGGGGAUGCGUUCCAUUAGGUUGUUGGUGAGGUAACGGCUCACCAAGCCUUCGAUGGAUAGGGGUUCUGAGAGGAAGGUCCCCCACAUUGGAACUGAGACACGGUCCAAACUCCUACGGGAGGCAGCAGUGAGGAAUAUUGGUCAAUGGGCGCUAGCCUGAACCAGCCAAGUAGCGUGAAGGAUGAAGGCUCUAUGGGUCGUAAACUUCUUUUAUAUAAGAAUAAAGUGCAGUAUGUAUACUGUUUUGUAUGUAUUAUAUGAAUAAGGAUCGGCUAACUCCGUGCCAGCAGCCGCGGUAAUACGGAGGAUCCGAGCGUUAUCCGGAUUUAUUGGGUUUAAAGGGAGCGUAGGUGGACUGGUAAGUCAGUUGUGAAAGUUUGCGGCUCAACCGUAAAAUUGCAGUUGAUACUGUCAGUCUUGAGUACAGUAGAGGUGGGCGGAAUUCGUGGUGUAGCGGUGAAAUGCUUAGAUAUCACGAAGAACUCCGAUUGCGAAGGCAGCUCACUGGACUGCAACUGACACUGAUGCUCGAAAGUGUGGGUAUCAAACCAGG
rnacentral:rRNA from 1 species